UACAGAGGUGGCAAGCGUUGUUCGGAAUUACUGGGCGUAAAGGGCGCGUAGGCGGUCUUGUAAGUCCCGUGUGAAAUCCCUCGGCUCAACUGAGGAACUGCACGGGAAACUGCUUGGCUUGAGUUCGGGAGAGGGAAGCGGAAUUCCGGGUGGUAGCGGUGAAAUGCGUAGAUAUCCGGAGGAACACCGGUGGCGAAGGCGGCUUCCUGGACCGACACUGACGCUGAGGCGCGAAAGCUAGGGGAGCAAACGGG
rnacentral:rRNA from 1 species